GAUCAUAGCUCAGGAUGAACGCUAGCUACAGGCUUAACACAUGCAAGUCGAGGGGCAGCAUUCCAGUUUGCUUGCAAACUGGAGAUGGCGACCGGCGCACGGGUGAGUAACACGUAUCCAACCUGCCGAUGACUCGGGGAUAGCCUUUCGAAAGAAAGAUUAAUACCCGAUGGCAUAAUAGAACCGCAUGGUUUGAUUAUUAAAGAAUUUCGGUUAUCGAUGGGGAUGCGUUCCA
rnacentral:rRNA from 1 species